UAAAAAAAACACACACAUACAUGUGUGUACGUAUGCGAUCAGAAGAAGGAGCCAGGAGAGCUCAAACCCUAGUUCAACAAAUCCUCCAAAUCGAAGCUCAAAUCAAGCCCGAAUCGUCUGCAUGAUUACAAAUUCGUGAUCGCCUAGUCGUGGGGAUCAUAAGUUGACUCUAAACAAGCUAGGUGGGAGCUUGAAAAGGAACAGGUCAAACGGAUCAUGGAUGCGAAGAAUGUUUGCCCGGACGCGAGGGUAAAACGGCUUAUGGAAUUUACGUGGCUAUGAAUCAGCAAAUUAUUAAGGCAAGGUAUUAAAACGGGUCAAUACUUUGACCCGCGCCAGGUACAUUUUGGAUGCCGGAAGAUGAUCAAGCUCGACGAAGGACCGAACACGAUAUAGAUACAUGCUUCCGCACUUUAACACUUUGCAAAUUUUAAACAACGAAUUCAACCAAGUUAUGUAGAAUA